rnacentral:tRNA from 1 species
GAGAAGAGUAAGAAACACAGAGACUGCUAAUUAUCUGACCCGAGGUUAAAUUCCACGAUCUACUC